GCUGGAGCCAGGGCGCCUGCGCGAACAGGAAGCGGAGGCUGCUGCUUAGUGCUUACCUUAGGCUGCUCCCUGCGAGCCACGGCCGCUACCGAUAACCGCGCCGCUGCCCAGGAAAGCGCCGGUUUGAUUUGGCAUAGUUAUGGAUUGCCUCAAGAACAGAGUAUUUUGUCUGUCCAGAUGCACAGGCUUCAAUUUCUUCUGGGCUGAGCUGAGUUUGCAAGAAAAGGUGUAGCCGGCUGUCAGAGAGCAGGACUGGACACUGCAUGACCCUGUAGAAUGUAACCCAAAUGCAGUUACUCACCAUAAUACAAAGACAGUAAUUAAAAAGGGCAUGCAGGGAAUUAACACAGUAGGAAAGCAAUAACAAAACAAUUUCUGAAUGCAUAUGGUUCCAAAAUAUCCAAGCCAAUUAUGGCAAAGGUACAAAGAUUUCCAUGUAUCCACAGUACGGUGCCCUGGAACACGAUGGUGCCAUAGAAGCCAAUAAAAAUAAUAAAUGUACCUUACAGCAUGUGACAGU